AUCCAUUCUUUUAGUAUAUAUUAUUAUUUAUAACGUUUUAACAUCUCAGCAUCCAGAAAUGCACUGUUAGAUAAAAUUGCAGCAAAUACUAGAGUUGCAAUUCUCUCUAUUAUUUGUUUUAAUGGAAUAUAAGAAUACCGUAGUCCAACGUCAUGCGGUCGUGUCUUGAAUACCACCCUCUUACUUUUUGAACGUUCCAUACCGUUGAUGCCAGAAUGAUUAUUUUUAACAACUUCUGCAGGUCAAUGAAAAUAAAACAAAUUGAAAUUGCAAUAUAUGGGCGAAAAAUACUCAAUUUUUAUUUAUUAUUUUAUGUUCAAUAAAGCAUACUUCUACUAUCAAUGUUUUCUUCCUAAGUUUCUUGGACUUCAACCGAAAUAGUAAAAAAACAAUUAAUCAAUGCAUUUUUAAAGUUAUAACAGUGAAAUACAUUACUCGGUAAUAUCAUGUACCUUGCAUGCUUUUGCAUCAUUAUUUAUGAACAAUUAUAAUAGCUAAAUUAUGGCUCUCCAGCAUCACUGCUUCACAGUGAAAAGUAACCUCGUUGUAUUUUCUACGUGACGAUUGCGUUAUCGGAUUCAGCCAAUCAGCAGCCGGUUCAAAUUGGUUGAAUGUAACGGUGACCAGCUGUCGCGUCUUGUCUUAGGUUGGAACAUAGACUAAAGAGUUUCAAUAAUUUAGGUAAUUAAUUAAGGUAAUUGCUAUCUUUUUAGGCUUGGUCAGAUUUGUGCGGUGUUUUUAACAGACUAAUCUAUAUGGUCUAGAUAAUAACAAUAAUUUAUCACAACAGGACUAAAAUAAAUGUCAAUGUGUGAGAUGACCAUGAUAUAAAUUAUUUAUUUUGAUGAUAGUAUGACUAAUCGUUCAUAGUCGUUUCAACAAUAUGUUUUUAAGCAUAACCAAAGAUGACAAGUACACAAUACGUUACUCUUGCAGUAUGCAGCGGACACGAGUUUCGCUACGCGUGAACGAAAAUUGAACUAAUUUGUAUACUGUUAAUUUGGUGAUGACGACAAGGUGGUGAAAGGUGAAGCAUGUUUUUCAAUAUCAUUGUAUGGUCCUAUCAUCUAAUUUUCAAUAUCCUUAUACGAUAUUGCCAUUCUGUUUUUGUUUUCAUCUAGCGGAUUGAGCAUGAUAAAUCGAUUUUGCUAAUAAUCACAGUUUUAAGGUCAUCAGAUGGCACCGUUAUAAAGGUGUUGCAAGCAAAAUGUAUGAAGUCAGGUAUCUUGCUCUAGUCAUCAUUAGCAUAACUCAUUUGUUGUUUGUACCAAUUUUAAUAGUCGAUUGAGAACCAAAUCAUCUAGAUUAUAUUGUAAAGUCGAUUGAAAACCGCCGUACAAAUCUGAUUGAAAGUAACAUGAUAUUUUUCUGGGUGUGAGAAUCUGGUCAAGCUCACUAUCUGAAACAAGUCGACAUAUAUUCUCUAUUGAAUUCGUCCAAUGAAUUUCACAUAUCAAAAGAUCUCUCAAUUUUAUAUGAUUCCAUUAGAAAUCCAUUUAUAAAUUAAAUGUGAUACAAUAAUUUUUACGAAUCGCACAAUGAAAUAAUUAUUAUCGGAUUUUCACAUCCAUUUUAUUUGAUAUUCAUUUACGUCUAACAUGUGCCGCAAAAAUUUGAAUUUACCGGCAAUAUUGCGGAAUACAUUUUAUAAAGUAAAUAUAUAAAACCGCCAUGUUUCGAAACCAACAUAAAUCUUAUUGAUAAAUCUAAUGAAAAACACACGUCGCCGCACUUCUUGUCAGUUCUUCAGUACUUGUGAAAUUUUGUUUUGACGUUUGGAUUUGGUAUCGAAUAAUCCAGAUGGUUAUUCAAAAUGGCUACACCACGAAAAGACGGCGUCUUAUUGGGCGAUUGGAAGGAUAUUUGCUUAUCUCCAAUGGAUUACACCGAAGAAUUUGGCACUUAUCAAAUCGUAGGGCAAACAACGAACAGAUAAUUGGAACUGGGAUCAAGUGGCCGACGUUGAACCGGAUUGCCGUUCAACAGUCAACAACCAAUCACAAAUUUGCUAAAUAUUAUAUAUUUUAUAUUUUUAUAAUAAAUUCU